rnacentral:rRNA from 1 species
UGAGACCUCAGGUCAGGCGGGGUUACCCGCUGAGUUUAAGCAUAUC